GGAUGGACUUCUUAUCUAAAAGUUCUUGCAGCUGGACCUUCAACUCCAGCAAAUCCAUAAGGGUGAUGCAUUCGAUAAGGAGGUUUUGAUAUUGUUCUGAUCCUUGGUGUGAUAUCAAUCUUAAAUUCAAUCUUCCGAUCUGGAGGUAGCCCAGGUAGCUCAUCUAAAAAAAAUAUCAAAAAAUUCUUUGACAAUAUAUCAUCCAACUCCACCUCCUCCUUCUGGGUAUCCACUACAUAGGCC
rnacentral:lncRNA from 1 species